rnacentral:lncRNA from 1 species
UCAUUUUGAUAGCAAAAGUGUAAAAAGACAACAUGUACCCCAAAAGAGGCAGCAGACCAAAUGAUUGAAAACCUGAAGAAGGAGCUGAUGGCAAAGCAAACUUCUUUACAGGUAAAUUAUUUUAAGAUUUGCAAAUUUUAGGGGAAACCUUUUUUUCUUUUUCUUUUCUUUUUGCUCUUUGUGUUCCAGUCAGCUAUCGAAAAUGAGUUCUCAUCAGAUGAGGACAUACUUGCCAGAAACUGGAGUAAGGUACAACAGCAAAUGAUGGAACUUAAAGAGAGAACAGGAAGCUAAAAGAAGACAACAUUAAAGAGAUACUUGAUGCCAUGAGAGAGCUUCCCACAGUAGUGACGAAGUUGAAAGAAGUGAUUGGACAAAUAACACUUCAGACCUCACCUACUGCAUCCACUUCUGCAACACCUUCAACAUCAGUAGACUCUGCAUGUGUUUCUCCUCAAGUGUUGUCUGAUGAUAUGGUGUUUCUCAUGCCAGGCUGUGAUGUCAAGGUCCCCAAGCGAAAGCUGAACUCUCUGUGGAAGGCAAAUCCGUCAGUAUACAUCGGGGACCUUGCCAUGCUUGUCUAUGGAAGGGAAACCCUGUCUCAUUCAAGCUUGACAGGAAGACAGUCAGGGGCACACAAAGAUGUGGAAUCAAAGCCACAGCUUGAUAGCACAAAACUUGAUGCUAUAUUUGACCAUGCUCUGUCAAAGUUCCCUGACAUCACCAUGCAAGAUGUGAGAUGCAUCAUAAGAAAAAAAUGCAACAACGAAAACUACAUCAACUAACUACACGACACACACACACACACACACACACACACACACACACACACACACAUAUAUAUAUAUAUAUAUAUAUAUAUAUAUAUAUAUAUAUUCAUUAUAAAUUGUUAACAGUUGAUUUUAUUAUUGUUUCUAUUAUUAUUAAUAUUAAAUUUUAUGUUUAUUCAUAUUAUUAAUUUUACAUUUUUGCAGUGGUCUUUUAAAGUUUACGUUUUAUAUAUUUAUAAAUAAUUUAUGAAUUCAUAUAUAUUAUUUUUUUUUUUUUUUUUUUUUUUUACAGUGGCUAGUAUUAUUAUUAUUAGUAGUAUUGUAAAUAUUACUCUUAUUAUUACCAUCUUCAUCAAUUCAUUGUUUUAAACUGUCAUUUAAACCGUUAUUUAAACAGUAUUUGUGUGAAAACACCAGAUCCAAGCAAACAGGCUUUUAAUAAUAGGCAUUGUCUUGUCUUGUGUACUGUUGAUUGGGAAAUUUGAUCAGUUUCCUAGAGAAAUAGCCCGCUUGAUCAUACAUGACCACACAAAUGGCCAUUCUGUGUAGUUUGCCGUAGAUCAUACUAUCAAUACUUGAAGUCUCGCCCGAUCCGAGCGUGGUGGGCUAACAGCAUGUGUAACUCUAUCACCCGCACUAACCACUCAUGACUUCUCUGGGUACAACUGAUUAUGGUGAUAAAUUUCCUUGUAGGUGAUUAUAAUCAGCCUUCUUCCUUCUUUCUUUUUUUUUUUCUUUCCUUUAUUUUGUUUUGUUUCCCAUUGCUUCUCUCGCUUUGCAUCGUGAUUGCAUGCCAUCUGCUGGUUUAACCUAAUGAUGGCUCGCUGCUCUGUAAUAUACACCAUUGCCUAAACAACUAAAAGUAACUCUAUCACCCGCACUAACCACUCAUGACUUCUCUGGGUACAACUGAUUAUGGUGAUAAAUUUCCUUGAGGUGAUUAUAAUCAGCCUUCUUCCUCUUCUUUUUUUGUUUUUCUUUCCUUUAUUUUGUUUUCGUUUCCAUGUCUUCUCUCGUCUUUGCAUCGUGAUUGCAUGCCAUCUGCUUAGGUUUAACCUAAUGAUGGCUCGCUGCUCUGUAAUAUACACCAUUGACUAAACAACAAACCAAAAAACAAACUACAAAAUCCUUACCAACCAAUCAAACACCUGUUGCCAUGGUUUCCAUAAUGCUCCACCUACCUGUUCAUUGCUUCCAUGGUUCCCUUCCUGAAAAAGUACCCAUGAUGUACAGUGCUACGCCUGCUACUGUCUCUGCAGCAACAACUCCUGCCACAAGUGUCCCCUACGCAACAACAGCACCAGCCAAUCAGGUUUGCUCCUUUUAAAAGCUUUCUUUCAUAAAUCCCCGAGCUCUGAAUAAGCACUUUGCUACAAAUUCAUUCCGCUGUCGCCAUGGCGAAACCAUCUGUGCCUUUGGAAAUAAAUCCUCUGCAGAGGUGAGAGCAGAUCCGUCGCUGGCUGACGAGCUGAACACUUUCUACGGCCGCUUUGAAAGCAAUCUGAGCAGCGCGAGUCUGCCGAUCAGCGCGUCAGAAAGCAGCAGUCAGAGCAGAGAUAAUCAUGUAAUCACCGUGUCAGAGGAUGAGGUUCGGAGGGCUCUAAAGCGAGUGAACGUCAGGAAAGCAGCCGGACCUGAUGGGAUUUCUGGCCGUAUUCUGCGGUCCUGUGCUGAUCAGCUCGCUGGUUUGUUUACAUCCAUUUUUAAUGAGUCUCUUGCUACAUCGGUGGUUCCCACCUCCUUCAAAAAAUCUGUCAUCAUCCCUGUGCCUAAGAACAAUCAACCCUCUUGUCUGAAUGACUAUCGUCCAGUUGCCCUCACAUCAAUAGUCAUGAAGGUCUUCGAGGGACUGGUUAAAAACUUCAUCUGCUCCUCCAUCCCGAAUACUUUGGACCCUCUUCAGUUUGCUUAUCGCCCCAACAGAUCCACUGAUGAUGCCAUCUCUCACAUCCUGCACUCUUCUCUCACACACAUUGACAGCAAUAUCAGGAACCAUGAAGGCUGCUAUUUAUCGACUAUAGCUCAGAUUUCAAUACUAUAGUCCCCAUCACGCUAGCUUCUAAACUCAUGGACCUCGGCCUGAAUUCUUCACUCUGC